rnacentral:lncRNA from 1 species
AGAAACAGUUCUUGUUGGAUCAAUAACAACUGCAAGAAAGGGCUCCUGAUAUUGCUGGUUAAGCAUUUGUGUGGUAACAUCAAUGCCAGAGAGCCAGCAUCCAUAACCAGGAUGAGAAUGGUACCACCCAACCACAUUUUCCAGCCGACCAGCCUAUACCAAAAACUGAGUAAGAGAAUGGUCUGAUACAUUUUCCAGCCGGCCAGCCUAUACCAAAAACUGAGUAAGAGAAUGUAUGAACAAACUACAUCCACAAGCACCUUCAAUUAGGGAAAUCAAUUGAGACACA